rnacentral:rRNA from 1 species
GCAACUCGCCUGCAUGAAGUCGGAAUUGCUAGUAAUCGUGGAUCAGCAUGCCACGGUGAAUACGUUCCCGGGCCUUGUACACACCGCCCGUCACACCAUGGGAGUCGGUAACACCCGAAGCCUGUAGUCUAACCGCAAGGAGGACGCAGUCGAAGGUGGGAUUGAUGACUGGGGUGAAGUCGUAACAAGGUACC